AGCAGAGGGAGAGAGAGUGUGUACCUUGACAAGAACGGCCCAGAUGGUGCAGCGAGCGGUGUUGGAAUUUGGAAUAGAAGCCACUCAUACCUGACACCUCAUCACAGCCGUCCAUCUUCAUCAGAGCAACCAAAGCAGAAAGAAGAACCUUAGCAAUUAGCAGUUUGGUGAUUGAAGCUGUGAUGGAGGAAGAGGGCUCAGAUGCAAUGAACCUUGAUUUGAAUCUGGGUCCAGGCCCAGAGCUACCAAGCGGGUCCAUUAGCAAUGAAGCUAUGAACUUGGACGAUUGGAUAGGUGAGAGAAUCAGUGAAGCUGUGAGGCUUAGGGCGAGACAAAGGUGGCGAUGGCGGCAUCUCCCUAUACCUCAUCCUGAAGUUCAUGUUCACAUUCCACCUGAAGCCACACGGCAUUUGCAUAUCCCACCAGAAGCACACAACAUUUCCAUGGAAUUGAACCAGUUUUUGGUCAAUUCAGGUAAUGGAAGUGCCUUGCAGGCCGGAGAAGGCAGCGUGGCCGCAGAGGAGAGGAUGGAGGAGGCGCCAAAAGCGUGUGAGAACAUCAAUGGUGUUGCGGAGGAUGAGGCAUCACAGAAGAAGGAUGAUGUGGAAAAGGGUAGUGGCAAUGAUGGGGACUUUUUUGAUUGUAAUAUCUGUUUGGACCUGGCUAUGGACCCUGUUGUGACGUGUUGUGGUCAUUUGUUUUGUUGGCCGUGUUUGUAUCGAUGGCUGCAUCUGCAUUCGGAUGCUAAGGAAUGUCCUGUUUGCAAGGGGGAGGUGACUCUCAAGAGUGUUACCCCAAUCUAUGGCCGUGCAAACAAUGCCCGUGGUCCUGAUGAUGAUUCUGCUCUUAAAAUCCCUCCUAGGCCGCAAGCACGGCGGGUUGAGAGCCUUAGACAAACCAUUCAAAGAAAUGCAUUUGUUGCACUCCCUGUGGAAGAGAUGAUUCGGCGCCUUGGAAGCAGAAUUGAUCUUACUCGCGAUUUAGUUCAGCCUCACGAGCCAGACACUGCUCGGGAGACAGCAGAUAGAACUACCACUUUCCUAAGUAGGUUCUUGACAACUCGAGGUUUGAGGAGAGAGCAGAAUGUUGGGGCACCCCCUGAUGAUGUUGUGGGUAUGACACAGAACAAUGUUAGUACUUCUGAGGCUGGGACUGGGGAUAACCGCAGGGUGCAAUCCCCUUUGCUUAGAAGAACACAAUCACACAGAGCAACACUUUCUACUCUUUCAUCGGCAUUGACUUCUGCUGAAAGAUUAGUUGAGGCAUACUUCCGUAGCAAUCCAUUAGGUAGAAACCAAGAACAACCUCCUCCUCCUCCUACAGUGGAUGACAGAGAUUCCUUUUCAAGCAUUGGUGCUGUCAUAAAUUCAGAGAGUCAAGUUGACACUGCUGUAGAAAUUGAUUCCAUGGUAUCCUUGUCAACUUCCUCCUCUAGAAGGAGAAAUGAUGCUUCAAGAGUGUCUGAUGUGGAUAGUGGAGAUUCCCGUGCUCCAAGGCGCAGACGACUGAACUGAUAAGAAGUCUUCUAGAUGAUCAAGUUAUUACUAUUCUAUCAUGUAACACAUAUGAUAAUAAUUUUCCAACACCUGUACCUAUUUCGUGGGGCAUGGCCAACGGCAAUUCGGGCUUGUAUUUCUUGUCAAUAAUGCAGGUUCUGCUUCAGCAGAGUUGUUGUAGACAAUGAAUUGUAAAUAUAGUGACAAUUAUAGAUAUAUGGUAGGCUAGUAGCUAGUCUUUGUUUAGUGUUGUGGAUUCCCAUACCAUAUUUUGCUAAAGCAUCUUCAUGCUGCACGAAUCUUAGUUCGCCCACAUGGUUUCAUGUUAGGUCGUGGAAGUCAAUGGUAGAUGUUUUGUACUCAUGUGAUGGAUCCGCUGUAGCGGUUGUGUUGUUGUGUUAACGAGGUUGGAGUAUUCGGGUCAAUUCAAAGUUUAUUUUGAUGGAUUUGGGUCUUAAUUUUAAACUUCAAGUUUUGAAAAUGAGUUUGUACUAUUUUAGCUCAGUGUAAUAACUCAUGUUCUUUAAAAUUUAUCUUUUUUAUGAUCAUGUAUUUAGAAUAAAAGUUAU